rnacentral:lncRNA from 1 species
UUAUAUGACUGAUCUUAUUGGUCUUCCCUCCACAGAUGCUCCGCCCCUCCAGCACGAUCCUGGCUCAGGCUCAUUGGCCCGCCGCCUCUGUUCGGUUCAGCCUACUCCACUUUGACCCCCCUGUACCAUCGUCCCAGAGUGACAGAGAUGGUGGGUUCCAGGGCAGAGGUGUUCCACAGCACCCUACCACCAGGGGGCACUGCAAGCUCCCACAGAGCACAGACCGGUUUGUACUGACAUUGAUCUAUGGCACUGGGAGCUUAUUGUGGCUAUGUCCCGAUUCUCUACCCCUCUCCCACUUUGUCAUGGAUCUACAAUCAUUGGAUUGGUGUUAUCAUUGACUAGGAGUUUUUACCAUUGUUAAAUUCAUGAUGAGAAGUGUUUGGGAAAAGAGUGUCAGCCACUGUCUCUGGUUACUGUUACCGUUUUCCUCACCAUUUGUCAAACAAAGUGAAAGGUCUCGUAUUUAUUGACUGUUCCUUAAUGAUCAGAAUUUGUAUCAGGUCAGUACACGGGUGAUCACAGCGAGUCAACAGAAAGCCUCCAAAGCCUUGACCGACUGCAUCACGGUACGCUCCGACAUCUGCGCUCCUAGCUUCGUCCGCACUCCCAGCAACCUACAAGUCAUGGGUGUGGCUCCUCCCAUGACCUUUAUCCUGGAGCGCCAACACCCCGUCACACAGGUACACCAUCAGCACCAAACAUGUCUAUUUUACAAUGAAUCAAAAUCACCAAACAAGUAGAUUUAUGAUCUGUAGAAGCACACCUUUGCUGGAUCACCCUGUCUCUCUCCCAGCGGGUCAGGCCACAGCAGCUAAGUUCCCCCGCUUCUCCUCCUCCACUCAGCAGGGCCAGAGUUCCUCCAGAACACACUCAGCCUACCACAUACACUCUAUCAAAGUGGUUGAGUAAACACACACAAACAAAACCAUAUCGCAUAGGAACAUUCCACCCACCUUCUAUGCAAAUACAGUCUUCCCAUACAUGACUUAGUCAAGCUGAUACACCUGCACUUUUGAAUAUUCCCAAAUAUUUUAGACAUAUGCUACACCUACACCUGAUAUUUCUAACACUCCGGAAUGGAAAAUGACAUGGCG